rnacentral:rRNA from 1 species
GCACGCAAUUACCCACUCCCGGCACGGGGAGGUAGUGACAAAAAAUAACGAUACGGGACUCAUCCGAGGCCCCGUAAUCGGAAUGAGUACACUUUAAACUCUUUAACAAAAGCCAAUCGGAGGGCAAGUCUAGUGCCAGCAGCCGCGGUAAUUCUAGCUCCGAUAGCGUAUAUUAAAGUUGUUGCGGUUAAAAAGCUCGUAGUUGGUUCUGUGUGCCACGCUGUUGGUUCACCGCAUGUCGGUGUAACUGACAUGUCGUGGGACGUCCUGUCGGUGGUGGUUAAAGCCCUAUAGCUUAGAAGAGGCUUGUCCUUAACUUUGCUUCAGGUGACUUUAAUUACCGAUUAAAUCCUGCCGCGGUGCUCUUUACUGAGUGUCGAGGUGGGCCGACACGUUUACUUUGAACAAAUUAGAGUGCUCAAAGCAGGCAUUGGUUGCCUGAAUAGUAGUGCAUGGAAUAAUAGAAUAAGACUUUGGUUCUAUUUUGUUGGUUUUCAGAAUCCAAGGUAAUGAUCAAUAUGGACAGGCGGGGGCAUUCGUAUUGCAACGUUAGAGGUGAAAUUCUUGGAUCGUUGCUAGACGAACUAAAGCGAAAGCAUUUGCCAAGUAUGUCUUAAUUGAUCAAGAACGAAAGUUAGAGGUGCGAAGGCGAUCAGAUACCGCCCUAGUUCUAACCAUAAACGAUGUCAGCCAGCGAUCCGUCGAUGUUUUUUUCAUGACUCGACGGGCAGCUUCUGGGAAACCAAAGCUUUUGGGUUCCGGGGGAAGUAUGGUUGCAAAACUGAAACUUAAAGGAAUUGACGGAAGGGCACCACCAGAAGUGGAGCCUGCGGCUUAAUUUGACUCAACACGGGAAACCUCACUAGGUCCAGACAUUGGAAGGAUUGACAGAUUGAUAGCUCUUUCUUGAUUCAGUGGGUAGUGGUGCAUGUCCG